rnacentral:lncRNA from 1 species
GAUAUGCAGCUAUGGUAUCAGAGCUGGGCCUUGGAUCCCUGCUACGUGGACUGCUAAAACCCUGGUGACGGGGGAAGGCUGCAGCAGGGCUUCAAAAAGAGAAUGAACAUCGUUCACAUCGUUCACGUCAUUAUACAUCAUUAAGAAGACAGAAGAGAGCAAAUUUGCAUAAGCUGCCAUUCUUCAGGGCUUUCUGACCGUCAUUAUAAAAUAUUCAUACUGUGCAUCGGCAAGGGUCUUCCAGUACAGACCUCCUACAAGGCACACUUCAGACUGUUUCAGAAGCUCACAAUUUAAAUAUGGUAAAGAUAGCCAAGGAAAAAAGAAGAAGGAAGUCCAUUUGCAGCAGAUUAAAUGAAGCCGACAAAUUGACUCUUUC